rnacentral:rRNA from 1 species
UGUAAGCGUAUACCAAAGUUGUUGCAGUUAGAACGCUCGUAGUCGGAAUUUGGCAGUUCCAGAUGUGUGCACGUCGUGUGCGCGCUUCGCGGGGAUUGCUUUUGUGGUCUUGCGUAGGAUGAGGCACUUUUAUUAGUGAACGUCCUCACGCAACCACUUUUUACAGUGAGAAAAUCAGAGUGCUCAAAGCAGGCAUUUGCCGUGAAUGUAUUAGCAUGGAAUAAUAGAAUAGGACUUGGUUCUAUUUUGUUGGUUUGUUGGGACUGAGUAAUGAUUAAGAGGGACAGUUGGGGGCAUUUGUAUUUCGGUGCUAGAGGUGAAAUUCUUAGAUUACCGAAAGACAAACUGCUGCGAAAGCGUCUGCCAAGGAUGUUUUCAUUGA